AUUUAUAUAGUUUAAUUAAAACCUUACAUUUUCACUGUAAAAAUAAAAAAAUUUUUUUAUAAAUU
rnacentral:tRNA from 1 species